rnacentral:rRNA from 1 species
GGGGAAUAUUGGACAAUGGGCGCAAGCCUGAUCCAGCCAUGCCGCGUGAGUGAUGAAGGCCCUAGGGUUGUAAAGCUCUUUCACCGGUGAAGAUAAUGACGGUAACCGGAGAAGAAGCCCCGGCUAACUUCGUGCCAGCAGCCGCGGUAAUACGAAGGGGGCUAGCGUUGUUCGGAUUUACUGGGCGUAAAGCGCACGUAGGCGGGCUAAUAAGUCAGGGGUGAAAUCCCGGGGCUCAACCCCGGAACUGCCUUUGAUACUGUUAGUCUUGAGUAUGGUAGAGGUGAGUGGAAUUCCGAGUGUAGAGGUGAAAUUCGUAGAUAUUCGGAGGAACACCAGUGGCGAAGGCGGCUCACUGGACCAUUACUGACGCUGAGGUGCGAAAGCGUGGGGAGCAAAC